rnacentral:rRNA from 1 species
UACAGAGGUCUCAAGCGUUGUUCGGAUUCAUUGGGCGUAAAGGGUGCGUAGGCGGCGCGGUAAGUCGGGUGUGAAAUCUCGGGGCUUAACUCCGAAACUGCAUUCGAUACUACCGUGCUUGAGGACUGGAGAGGAGACUGGAAUUUACGGUGUAGCGGUGAAAUGCGUAGAUAUCGUAAGGAAGACCAGUGGCGAAGGCGGGUCUCUGGACAGUUCCUGACGCUGAGGCACGAAGGCCCAGGGGGAGCAAAACGGGG